CCCUUUUUGGUGUAUAACAUUGGGAUGCCUACCUCAACGGGUGCUCUGAGUUUUCAGUGAGAUACGGUCUGUAGAGUAGUGACUGUGAUGUCUGCGACAUAGUAAGCUCACAGUUCAUCAUGGCUAGUGUGACUGCCUCUAACCUUUUCCCAACUAAGCACUGGACCGUUCAGGAAGUUUCUGGGGAGCUUUGGUUUGCUUAUGGCUGCAGCACCUAACUAGAGAUGUAUGCUGGGGUGAGCGUUCAUUUCUGAGCCUCAGUUUGCUCAUCUGUAAAAUAGGAAUAAAAUAGCCUGCUCCUGUUGCCUGCCUUCCAGGGAAGUCAGAGCUUCAAGGAGUAGCUGCAGGUUGCCUUUAUUAACACUCCCAGCUCAGCCCUGCCCAGGGAGAGCUGUGUGUGUGUGUGUUUGUGUGUGUGUGUGUGGUGGGGAGGAGAUUGAGUAACAGUUUUGAUUCAACUGUUACAAAGCCAUUACUUCCAUUUUUCCAUUGGCUUAACCUUCCCCCUCUCAAGCUCCAGUGACCUCCUUUAACAAUUGCUGCCUCUGCUUAUCUUGUUGGGAUGUCAAAGAGAUAAUAUAUAUAAAGCCUCUAGCACAGAGCCUGGCGCAUGGUAGAUGUCUAAUAAAUGCUCUUUCCUUUCCUUCAAAAAAAAUUCCCAGCACUUCCUUGGGCACUGGGAUCACGUUAUUUUUUCUUUGAAAUUUACACUUUCUUUGCGUAUUAUAACAAUAACAGCUAUCACCUUUGCCCAGAAACUGCAUGGCUCCCUCCUCCUUGUUUUUCAGAAGUUGAGGGAGCCGUCCCUUCCUCAGAGCAGUCCUGCCGACCCCCUGAUGAAAAGCAGCACUGCAUGCUCACCCCAGCCCCACUCCAGUCCUAGGACACUCAGCACUGGCUGGGAACUCUCUUUUUCACCGAUGGAUUUUCCCUAUCUGCCUCCAGAGUGCUCAUCCUCCACUGGACAGAGCCAGGCCUGCAGCGGGUUCUCAGGAAAUAACUCUCUGUUGGGCAUCAGAGACUUUAGCAGUCAAUUUGCCUCCUUGAUUUCAUCCUCACAGCAAUGCUGCAGGGCUGUCUUCUUGUUCAGAUAAAGAAGCCGGCUCAGAGAUGUCACCUCUUGUGCCCAGGGCUGCAGAAGGAUGAUGUGGCAGACCUGAAUUCACACAGCGUGCUGUCUGGAUUUGCCGCCCUCUCCCUGCCCUGUAGCCUUUGGUUCCUGGGGAAAGCCUCCUUAUUAAGCCACAGGUCAUCCUGAAAACCAGGUGAGUUCCAUCAAACAAACAAACAGGAACAGCUCUAGCUCCACCCCAGGGCCUUAAUUUCACAGGGCAAGUUUCGGAUGCCCACUGGAGAGUGCAGGGUCACACCCAGGAGUGGCUUUCUCAAGGUAGGAAGGGACACCUCUGCUCCUGGUACCUCUGGACACUCCAGAUGUCCACUCUAUGAGGUGACAUAUCUGUGUGAAAGUAGCCCAUGAGAGAGUGCCAAGGCCAUGGGACAGAGGCCCCAGCAUGUGAGCUCAAACGAGGCAGCAUGGGUCUGAAAGGGUCCUUCUUGAGAUGUGAAAUCUUGGAGCCACAGCCUGAAGGAGCUCGCCUGGUUGAAUAAAGAAAUCACUCAACAAAGGACGCUCCUUCUCCAGCCUGAAGAGGCGCUGACGCCACCUACAGCCUGGAGACCGGCUCUGCAACCAGCACCUGCCAGCCAGUCUGGUGCUGGGGGGAAGAGAUUAGAAUUUAUAUGGGGCAUGGAGAACGGGCAGUCAACUCUCAAGGUGAAUACUUUCCCUGAUAAAUUGUAAACCAUUAAAAACAUGUUUAAAAAUUAUUUUGACUAAUGAGUUUUUGAAGAUUGUAGCAGUUGGAUUAAAAUUUGUGAACUACAUUUCUUAUAUAAAUAUAUUUUUUCUAGUGAGCACCUU
rnacentral:lncRNA from 1 species